CGUUACUGACCUUGAGUAAUCUAAUGAAAUAUGUCACAAAUUACAUUUUACAGCAUAUAUUCUGUAAUCUGUAGUGGAAUACAUUUCAAAAGUAACCCUCCCAACCCUGAUUCUCAAAUAGGUUGCAAAAAGAUACACGCACAAGUUUCUAAUAAACCUGUCAGGGUUUAAAUAUGCUUUUUUGCCUUUUACAUCAGUCCGUCGGAUCAGCUCUUGUUUCUUUUCUGGUUCUGAGUCCACAGGCAAGACGAUUCGUCUGCAGAUGAUGAGAAAAGAAUGAACUAUGGUGGUGUGUAUGUAGGUUUACCUGCGGACCUCAGUAACGUGGCCACUGGCCAGAAACCCUCUACACAGAAAGAAUAAUGAUAUUCAGAGCUGAAAGCACAGAUAAAGCGCUGUCCGGAGGGAAUCUUGGCUGUAAAGUGCUGUGUAAUAAUCUCAGCAGGACGGAACCUUCGUCAUUGUUGAUUGGCUCAUUGGGACAUGAUGGAACCCUCAGAGAGCCAAUUAUCAAAUUUAACUCUCUGGAGACUGAACUGGAUUUAGUUCUGCUGAUAAUGUCAGAGGUCUGAUAAAAAAUGCAUUUGUGUGCAACACAAUCAGCAUAUUUAAUAAGGGCAAUUGCUACCAGCACCUUGUUCCUCAGGCAGCCUACUGAAACACAGCUGUAAAUGACAAUCACAGGGCCACAACACUCAAAAAAACAAACAAAAACAAAAAACAAAAGAGGCGUUUGGGUCUUUUAGUGGCCAUAAACGUGGAACACUGUGCACUUUUUGGUCACUCAGCUCUUAAGUCAAACCUCAAGGACUUAUUACCUUCUCACUGUUACUCUCUACAUGUUACAUGUCAAGUAUGGGGUGUCACGAAGGCCUUACUGUUUCAAGGGGAUAAAAGGGACUUUUAAGGCACUUUCUGUCCAAUCUUGAGUCUGUUUUGGUUCACUCACCCCUUUCAAAGUGAUCCAAAAUCUAUCAAAAUUAAACAAACUCCUUUUAAAUACUCUACUCUGAUCUAAACAGGGAGGUAUAGUAUGUAUAAAACAGAAUCCAUUUGGUGUUUUCAAACACACAAGCAAGAGCACUGAAGUGGUAUUUCAAGUACUGUACCUUUGAAAGAGUGUGUUGCUGUAUUGAUGGAUUAGAUUGCUACUCUCAAGCCCUGUACUCUGUUGUGCAGAGGUGAAAACUGUUUAAGAUUGUGUUUUAGGUGCUUUAAUUUCUUUGGUCCAAGUAGAAUGACCUACUGAGAACCUCUGAAGAAUGGCACAUUUUUUAAAAUGAGUGUAUCUCUAGCACCGCCUGACCCUGGAAGAGAACAUCAAGGACCGUGUAAGUAGGCCAGCACUCACACUUUUAAGCAUCAGGUCAGCUGGAACAAGACUUAGGGGAAGAAAAAUGGAGAGUGACAAAAAGAGACAGCGUGAGCCACACUUUGUCUCAGCAGGGACAAAAUGAGAGACCAAUUUGUGUGGCAUGGAAGGAUGCCAGCUGGCAUUGCAGGUUCUAGAUGAACUCCCAUGACAUUUAUUCUGUCUUUAUCAAAACAGACCUCACAAUCUCUCUCUUCUAUAUGGACCUCUCGUCAAUCUGUACAGACUUUCAGUACAAUGUAAAUCUGUUUAAUGAAUUGUAAGAGAAAGUAGAAAUUGAACAGUUGUGUGGCAUUUUUUUCGGCUAGGAUUCAAUUAUUUUUCUAAAAUUGGAAGACAUGCACCCCUGCUCUAACUCACCCAUUCUGGAGUGUGUCAAUGCUCUUUCUUACAUCACAGGUGACGUAUUCUAAAAAUUUGUGUAGUUCUCAGGUACAGCUCUCACCAGCAACAACUUCAUAUGUAAAGCAGCAGUUCCCUGGAAAAAUUUCUACUCUAAGCAGUUGUCUUUCCUCCUGGCUAAAUUACUCACUUGUGCCACCAGCAAUUCACCUCGAGUGCCCGUAUAAAUAUAAAAUGGGUGGGACUACCUAAGCCUCGUUCACACAUGCAGCAACAUAACCGCUUAAUGUCGCUUGUCCUUGUACUGUAUUGUACAGUAUGUCACUAACAGUUCUGGGUAACUAAAAAAAGGAAUCUACUAAAAAUUACCAGCUACUUCUCUAAAAUAAUAAUCAGUUUAUUUUACUAUUUACUUCAUGGAAAAAGUAAUUGCAUUACAUAAACUUACUUUUAAGUUACUUUCUAAAACACUUCUGUUUUUCCACUCAAAACAAUUCAAAAUAAUGUUUUUAUUUCCUCGUUCUUUGUCGCACACUCUUCAGCUGUCAAAAG